UACGGAGGGGGCUAGCGUUGUUCGGAAUUACUGGGCGUAAAGCGCGCGUAGGCGGAUCUGCAAGUCGGGGGUGAAAUCCCGAGGCUCAACCUCGGAACUGCCUUCGAUACUGCGGGUCUCGAGUCCGGGAGAGGUGAGUGGAAUUCCUAGUGUAGAGGUGAAAUUCGUAGAUAUUGGAUGGAACACCAGUGGCGAAGGCGGCUUACUGGCUCGAUACUGACACUGAGGCACGAAAGCGUGGGGAGCAAACAGG
rnacentral:rRNA from 1 species